AUCAUUUUGCAGGGCGGGCCUAGGGCAGGACACGGGGUGAGUAAUUAUGUUUCGCAAAAGAAAAAAAACAACGACAUUCACGUGUUUUCCAAAGACACUGAACUCAUUCCAUGCACCUCAACUCUGGCCACGAACAUCUAUUUUUGCGGGCCCCAGAAAUGCUCGGUAAAAAUUAAAAUGCCUAAUCCUCCACCACAUAUAUAUACUCGUAAAAGAAUCUGAAAUGAACACCCUGUAUAAUUGUUCAUAUUUACAACCGCCUCCUAUUCACACUAAUCAUCUUUCAACCAUUAAUCAUCUUUCAACCAUUUGUAGGUAGAAUUAUCCGGAGAGCAACAGCAACUUCUACGGAGAAAAUCUACUUUCGACGGGUUCUGGCCUUUCCAUUCUGUGUAGGAGGAUGCCUCCUUAUUCUAGCCCUGCUGAUUUUGGGUCUGUUUGAUAGAGCUCCAUCUCAUUCUGAUUCUCUAUGGGAGCUGAUUCUCUAAGAGAAGUAAUUCUGUGGCUGAAAGUGAUUCUCUUAAAAUCACUUCACAGAAUCAGGAGAAACUCCCAGCCUCUUAGUAUACUUUGUAUACUUCUUGGAUCAAAAUUCUAAUACUGCUCUACAGUUUGUGUGCCCUGACACACCUGUUAUGAUUUCUUCCCCUUUUUCUUGUCUCUAGGUUCUGCGACCAAGUGGUGGCUCUCCAGAAGGUCCGAAAGCGUAAUCUUGCCACAGUUUCCUGUGUCCAGCCUUUGGAAUUGAUCGCAGAUCAUCAUGAUAUCUUUCUCAAAUAUCUUCCCCAUCUCCUUGAGCUUGUAAAUCGUGAAUUCUAAUUUCCUGGAUAAUAAGCAAUGAUCAAGCAUUAGUCAGUGCAGCAGCAGCAACAACAGCAAAGCCCUUUUUGUUCCCAUAUAUGAUAACAUAUAAGCUGGUGGUACUGGAACAGAAAGGUACACAGCAUUAUUGAAAAAGACAGAUAACUUCAUAAGCAAUACAGGAUAUUCCUUUUGCACUUUGACCACAUCAGAAGUACAAGAUGUAAUUUGUUGAAAUUAAAUAGAAGCAGCGACCUACAUUUUGGAAGACAAAUCAUUCAUAUCUCCCAAUUUACAGGUCUUACAGACUAAUGAUUCUGUUUUACUAGUGGAGUUGACAUGCUGUGCGGACUGAAAAUUGAAAUAUCAUAGCAUUCUAAGACCCUAUUUGGAACAGCUUAAAUCCUGCUUAUGACCAAAUAAGCUGAAACUACUAGCCAAAUGGGACGCUUUUUGUCAAUGCAGCAGCAGCAACAAAGCCUUUUUGUCCCAACUAUCAAGCAAGUUGGAGUAGCAAGUUGGGACAGCACAAGGCCACCAAAACAAGCCACUAGCAGUGAGGGAUAUGGGUACUCCAUGGAUCCCCACCGACUAGAAUACUAGUCGGACCUAACAAGUGGGUCCGCCCGUCUAGGGCGUGCGAGCCGAGGCCAUGAUGUUACUUGAAGUACACGUCAAGGCAACUAGACAGUCCAAAUUUGCCUAGAUAUCGUGGGACGCGAUUUGCAGUCCAACUUAGAUUGCUUUCCAUGUAAAUACCGAGUAGAUUAGAUUCAAACCGACUUGUAAUUCUUAAUCGUCAGCCUAUAUAAGGCGACCAAGGGCAUCCCUUGCAGACAACUCAUCUCAUAUGAAGCAAUACAAUCCACGCAUACAGGACGUAGGGUAUUACUCUCCGGAGGCCCGAACCUAUCUAAAACCCUCGUGUCCCCUUCAUGUUCUCGCGAUCACCUUCGAGUUCUUGGUUUCGCAAUCAUCCUUACCUACAAAUCAACCACUUGGGUACCCCCUGGUGGACUACCGGGCUACUAAAUCCGACAAGCAGGUCAUUAGGGGCACUUCACCAAAGCCAUCAGGAGCUCACUGCACAAAAUCAGGCACCAAGAGCUCACUGCACAAAAUAUGGAUCAACCAGCUCUAGACCCUCACCAUCUACAUGUCGUAGUGCUUGGCCCAGAAAGUCUGCAGCCACAUGACACGGUGGGCAUCAUUCAUAUUAACAAAUGCACCUCCCAGAGCCUUGUUGUCUAGCAGGUGGCUAUAUGCAACCAUCAAAGCUUCCUCAGUAAACCCAGGCAUGAACAUGACAACACCAUAUAGCUCAGGGUGGGAGUCCUCGACCUUGGUUGAACGAAUAGCAUCUGCAACAUUGUUCACUGCGUUUGUCAUGCCAGUCAUGCUAGCAAUGUCCUCACUAAGCAUGGAGCUCUACCUCUUAUUGCCACCACCAGAACCACUACUAGCACCAGCGUCCUGAUUCUUAGGUGCCUCCCCAAACAACUUUGGCACAUCAUCAAUCUUUAUGGUGUCUGGUUCAACCUUAAGUGAGCUCUCAGCAAAGUCAGAUGGGGAUCCCAAAGCCUCACCACACCCUAUUGCAAACGUCCCUGUUGCUAGAGCAUUGCCAAAGAUGACCUACAUCUCCUGGUAGUUCUCUAUAAGCUUGUUCAACAACUCAGCAUCUUUAGGGUGUGCCUGAAAUGCAUUGGUGGAAUGGUCAUAUAUGAUUAAGAUACUAAGCAAUGAAAUGAAUGCAAUAACACAUAUUAGUAGCCAAACACACCUUGAUGUAUCCAUUGUAGUGCUCCUCCUCCAAAGUGAUCAUGAAGUUGUCCUCAUCCCACAAAGUACCACUAAGCUCUCUAAGCUUGGUCACCCUGACCCACCUCUACCUCCACUUGCACAGAUGGUUGUAGACUUGGGUGACAAUCACCUCAUUUCCUGAAAACUCUUGCAGAGCCUUGAUAACUUGGUUUAAGUGCACUUUUUUGAAACCUUUGUCAGUUUUAACUCCAGUUGAGAUGAGCUGACACAUGCGUCGAAGCACAAAUAAGGACAUGACACUGGUCCACCUCAUUGCAGCUCUAGGCUGCUAGCCUGGAGGAGCAGCACCAGCAGCAGGCUGGGCAACAACUUGGCCAGCUACCUGGGUAGCAGCAUUCUCUUGUGCCAUCGCCUUAAGCAAAUCCAUUGCCCCUACCUGAACAUUCUCUUGUGCCAUAUCCUAGUGCCACCCAACUUAGAGGUAAGGAAUGGAAAGGAAUAGGGAGAAAUGUUUCAAUCAAAAAGAUACAUUAAAACAAGUAAUAGGACCAAUUAGAUUCAUUAGUCAUCAUUGCAUAAUGAACAUUGCCUCAAUCAUAAAAUAAGUCAAAUAAUUAAUGAAUCAUCAUUGCAUAAUGCCCAUUACCUAUACCUCAGUCAAAAAUAAGUAAAGAAGAGAAAUAAUGAUCAUAGCAACUUGUCCAAUGUCUCGGACAAAACAAAAUAAAUGAGAGAAAUAAUCAUCAUAGCAUCUUGUCCAACGUCUCAGCAUCCAAAAUAUCCAACAGAAAUAGGAACACAUAGUCAUCCAAAGCAUACAAGUCCAGAAUACAAGUGCAGUAACCUACUACAUUAAUCUAGAUGUGAGAGUGACCCCUAUUAGCCCGCAUGUGAUUAGCUCAUUCAUCCCUAAUUGCAGCCCAUGCUGAGUUGUUAUCCAUGGCAACCCCGUGCCCAUGAGGGGCAUUAUUGUUGGGCUCCCAAGAGGACUCAAGAGGAAUAACCUUAUCUAUUCCAUGACCAAGUAUCCAGUUGUGUAAAAUGCAACAUGCAAGCACCAAUUUGACUUGUGUCUUGAAUGGAUGGAAAGGUUUGUUGCCAAUAAUGCGAAAUCUAUUUUUCAAAGCCACAAAUGCCCUCUCAACGGUUACACGCAAACUUGAAUGCCUCUAAAGCGUUGGUUAUGGCCGACAACAUGGAGAAACAUUGCAACUUGCUCUUCUACACUGCUAUGCAUGCUGUCUCUCAACAAAUUCCUCUCCCUAAGCAAAUUAACUAGCUAAAAAAAGGAGGCUCUUCUCAUGCAAAGCAUGUUUACACAUUCAAUAUCAUUGCAGUUAUAAAUUUUAUCCAAGUUCUUUAAUCACUCCGCAUCCAUAGCACUCAUUGGGGCAUAAGUAAUAUGAGGGUGUGAGCUUUGACCCAUUCUAAGCCUACUAAAAUGGAAUGCAUACAUAGCAGUGACUAGAGCAGCUGCAUGAACAAUAAGCAUUUGUCUCUUGUCUUCAAGAGCCAUCUAUAUGAAUAAAAACAAGUAACAUAUGCUUAAGUUUUUGCACAUGGUAUGACUAAUAGGCACCAGUAGAAAAAUCUAUAGCAAUGGCAUCACUGACAUGGACAAGAAUGCUCAGAAUCAUAACAAAAGCAUCAUUGACAUGGACAAGUAUGCUCAGAUCUAUAGCAAAGGCACCAUUGACAUGAACAAAUGCUCAAAACAACAAAUAAGACAUCAUUGGUAUGGACAUGUAAGCUCAUAUUUUAUCAUACAACAACAUUGCUUUAACAUGUACUACCAUGAACCAGAUAAAUCCCACAACAUUUUCGUCACAUGAAUAUCAUCCAGAGCACCACACAAACAUACAGCCGCAAUCACAACAUUUGUGGAUAGGAGGUAGGAGGGAGGAGGGGGUAAUGCAUUUUUUUUACCGCAACAGGAGCAGCAGGAAGCAGGUCAACGCACAAAUCAAAGGGGAAGAGAUGGAGGUCAGGCAGAUCUGCAAUCCUGCAAAAUAAAACUCGCCAUUAACCAUCGGGAUCGUAUCAAAUCGAGAAGAAAUCAAGAGGAAAAGUUGCCUUUUUCAUAGGAUCUAGGGUUAAAUCAAAGGGGAAAUCGAGGGGAAAGUGGGAACACUUGCCUUGCCAAAUGAAAGCAUCAGGAAAUCCCCGCUGCAAAACAAGAGAGGAGAGGUUAGGACUGCAAGAUUCACGAACAAGAACAUGGGGAGGUUAGGAAAUCUGAGAGGAAGAGGAGAGUUCACUUGCUAGGCGAAAAUGGCGAGCGAGGUAGUGGGAGGACCGAUGAUGAGGAUUUAUAGACGGGUGAUGGUGCGAAAGGAGGGUGGAAUCUUCCCGCGUGCAUGCGCACGGCCAUUUUCGCCACUCCCGCGCUCGCCCGCGCGCACCGUCUCCGCAUCGCCAGAGCCAGGCUCCGAGGAAACGAGCUUUUCCUCCGUAUCUGAGGAGCCUGGCUCGCGGUGCCCUUUUGCAUGUGACGGGCUAGGCCCACUGCCCAGGCCAGGAAACAAAUCGUUGGACCGUUGCAUCCAGUCAGCCAAGCUGAGCCUCGUACAACCAACCAAUCAGGCUAUUAGUGUAAUAGUGUGGGGGCAGUCUUUCCCACCGGCUGAGUGUUUUUUUAUUUGUUUUAGAUUAUAAGGUCGAUGGACACAACCACAUAUGCAUUUUCAUGCCCACUGCACAUGCUACUACUGCACAUGGUCUUGGAAACUAUAUGCAUAUCAGGAAAUGAACUAUGAGUUAGGUUGAUGAUAAAGCUUUUGAGCUGAAAUUUUGUAAUUAACUUUUCCAGGGGCACAAGUAAUAGUGGAGUCCUUGCCGAGACAAAUUUUGAUGUGUAAUCUCCUAUAAUACAAAGCAGCCUAGUUUCUCCUAGGUUGGUCUAUUAUUUUUGUUUGUUUUUCAUUUUAUUUUAGCUAUGCCAAGACUAGUAUACCAUAUUGCUUCAUCUCUUCUUGAUAGUGUAUAUGGAAAUUCCUGCAGAAUUUAUUGUAUUUUCUUUCUUCAAUGCAGUAGACGUUGGUAGAAGAAAAUAACAAUACGCAUUUUUUUUGUUUGCUACCUGAGUGCUUCUAGACAUCAGAUGAUCACCAUUUCGCGAGCUCCUAAGGCAAGAUUAGAAAUGUAUAUGUUUACUCUUAUUUUGUUUCUGUGCCCAUUUGUUUAUGAAAAUCAUAACAAAAAUGUGCUACUUGGUAAGUAUUUCCAAUAACAAAUCGGUGCAAUAUUUGUUUUCAUCAGCCAACGUGAAUUACAUGUUGCUGAAGUGCAGAAUUGCUGCCUUCAGAUUGCCCUCGGCUAGUUCGUCACAGUUGCCAGAGGCAUCUACCGAUCAAGUUGGAUACUGGCUACUGGGUGAGUGUUGUACUUUGCUGUGGUCCUGUUCUGAUGGGCUGAUGCCGGAUGUAAAGUGCAGACAUUUUUUUUUUCGCUGGAGAAAUAUUGAUAAAGUUCCCCUCAUCUCGCUCGCAGGAACUUUUGUGAAGAUGUGUUGCCAAGGUGAUAAUGAUUUUCACAAUAAAAACACUUGUGCCCAUCUGGCUUGAAGUUGAACAAAAGAAGGAUUCCUGCAUCCCGAUCGGGUUCCUGACUGGGAUCACACCAGUUCAAUAAGCCAUCCUCAAAGCACAAAGCAAACAACGGAAGUGGCCAGCCGAGGGUGCGGCGAUUAAUCGUGGCCAUCGUCGAGCUCCAGGGCGUGGUGCAGCCGCAGCUAUGCAUCCUUCUCCGGCAAGUCCGUGCUCAGAAAGGAGGCGACUGGUGGUAAUGAGGAUCAAGAGCCACUGGCAGGGGCGGUGGCAGAGGUCCUAUUCAAGGACCGCCCCACAGAAGCCUAUAAUCAACUAGCAAAUCCACCCCUUUCUGUUCACCCCACUUGCUUCGGCAGUAAUUCCGAAUUUUGUCUACAAAAUCACUGACUGCGUGGUUCUUCUUUUGGUGUUCUGCAGAACCGCCCACCAAGGAGAAGAAGGCCAUGCAGCUAGCAGCAAUUUGACUCCAAUUUUUGGACAAGCAACUUGAUGGAAAUCUGUAGCUCUCCCUUGCUUUUGCUGUGCACACCAAGGGCCUCUGAACAUGUCCACCGUUUGUCAUAGGCUCAUUGCUGUGUCUAGCAGGCAACAUUAUUGUUAGCCUCCCUCCAAUGCACACAGUUCCAUGUCAUUGUCAAUAUCCACUGUAGCUGCUAAAAUGUUUCAGCAUUCGUUUCAAGUCAAUUAACAACAAAAUAGCUAAAAAAAUGCCUAACUUAUGGCAUGAAAGGUACAAAUAAAUCCUUGAUAUGACUCGAGCAAGACGGACAUCGAAUCCAAAUAAGCAUGCUUUGUGUCCAUUACAUUCACCCGCAACGGUUUAUCUUCCAGACAGUGCAUCAGGAGCGGAUCCAAUGUGGGAAGGGGGUUGAAGCCCCCUACCUCCACAUAGUUCAUGGAGCCCCCCUCCCCCACCCACACCCACCCUUGGGGGAGGAGUAAGAAAAGGAGGAGGAAGAAGAGAAAUAGAGGAGGAAUGAGGGGAAAAUAAGCAUCACCUCUUUAAGUCCCGGAUCCGCCACUCUAAUGCAUGAUAGAGGUUGAUUGAUAACCUCUUACUUUUGGUAUCCCUUAAAGCAUCAGGUGUAGCGAAAAUUACUUAACUUGGUAGGUAGUCAAGCAUCAAUUCUUUUCCCUCCUGGACUUGGCAGGCUUUGUUCACCGCGUAAACCAUACAUAGAUAGCAUCUUUGCUCAUGCUGAAUCUACAGUGGUUAUAAGAGAAACGAAAGGUGCUUGGGACUUUGUAGUAAGAAAGCAUGAUGGCCAUGCCGUGAUGACCGGUGCAAGGAAACUAAGAGCAGGACAUGAUGUUUUGCGUGCUGAGGCGGAAGCAUGUCUCGACACACAUGUCAUUAGGGAAACUCCAAUCUAUUUUUUUAUAUCUUUUUAUUCCAAAUUCGUUUAAUUCAUUUCCAUUAGAGUUAAAUAUAGGCCUGUUGAUGCUACUCUACUCAGGUUGACACACAUAAUAUUAGAGGAGGAUUCAUCUAAUUUAGCGUUGAGGUCAUCUUUUGUCCCCCAUCGUGUAAUUCGUGUGCUCAUGAGUUAGCUUGUAUAUGUUUGGGUUGGGACUCAGAUUGGUCUUUGGUUUGGCUUGAUCCCCUCCCAUGUUGUGUAAUGAACUUGGUGGUUCGCAACUCCAUUGAAUCAAUGGUGGAAUAAAAACAAAUGAUAUAUUUUUUUUUAAAUUAGGAGGCUUUAUCAAUUAGGAAUCAGGAAGCUUUGUUAAAUGUCAUCAGGCUUGAGAAUCAAGAUUAUUCCCUGCUUUGCUUCACAAUUCAUGCUACCAGCAGAUUCGUAACGUUAUGCCCCUCCAAAUAAUGGCACCGGAUUCUUAGUCUUGCUUUUAAGAAAAGAUAGCAGCAAAACAAAACGCUUUGGGUAGCGGUGGCUCCUUGUCUUUGGCUUUAUGCUCCUCGCUUUGGCGUGUGUGCAGUGCAGAGGAGGAGCUGCUGCGAAAUCCAUUUACCGUUGCUUUGUCGGCAAACAGGCUCGACCGUCACAAGCUCGCAUUGCAACACGCACAGAUUCUAUGUGAUUACUCGAUCGCGCCUCUCUUGCCAGAUUGAAGGUCUACUUCAUUGCCCGCUCAUCAGUUGCAUCUACACGUCGUCUUCCAUUAGACACGUUUGCAUUGCUUCAUCUGGUACGUGUGCACAUCCUCCCCGAUCUCUUGCAGCUAGCUUCUCCCUUCAACGUUGAGGCUAACAAAAGGCUUGAAUCUCCCCUUCUAUCUCCGUUCCAGAUUUGGGUGCGGCCAUGGAGGUCGGCAUCGAGGCGGCGCGAUGGGUGGUCGGUAGGGCGCUUGUCCCCGCCUCGGGCGGGGUGCUGGAGGCCUGGGCGGCAAGCUCCGAGCUCGGCCCCAACAUCCGGGAUCUGAGGAUGGAGCUGCUGUACGCGCAGGGGAUGCUCAACAACGCCCGCAGCCACGGUUACGGCCAUGGCCCGGAGAUCAAGAACCCGGCCCUGGGGGAGCUGCUGCAGGAGCUCCGGGACCUGGCGUACAGGGCCGACGACGUGAUGGACGAGCUCGACUACUUCCGCAUCCAGGACGAGCUCGACGGCACCUACCAUGCCGCUGACGAGCAUGCCGGGGGCUGCCUCCGCAACUACGCCCUCAAUGCUCGCCAUACCGCGAGAGCCAUUGCAAGCAUGCUUGGCUUCUCCAAGUGCUCCCGCGGCUCCGCUGGCCAUGAUGAGCCAGAUGAAGAAGAUACAAGGGGCCGAGGAAUCUCGUGCGGAGUUUGCCCAUGUCUUGGACCUAAAACUCAUGUUGAUGAUAAUGAGCAAGAAGAGGAUGCAAGCCUAAAAGUCCGGUGUGGAGCUGUUUGGCCGUGUGGAAGGGCCUCCUCGACGUCGUCGCCGACCAACCAGCAGGGCGACCAAGAGGUUGUUCAAAGCUCAGAUGAGGGUGGCAAUGGCUGCAUCGGCAGGCUCGCCACCGGUGCCUCCGACACCAUCAACACUGUCGGUAAACACCUUCCAUGCUUCUCUGUUUCACCUGUCCAAAAUGAUGCCAACCCCAACACUGCAUCGAGUGGACGUCGAUUCCUCUGUUGUGCCCGUCCCAACAAGGCGCCACGGAGAGAAUGCGUCGGACAGACACCAAAACUCAAGUUUGAUAGGGUUGAAAUGUCCCGAACAAUGAAGGAGAUUGUAGAGCAGUUAAAACCUCUUUGUGCCAAAGUAUCUGCAAUUCUUAAUCUGGAGUUCUUGGCAGCCAACUCUAGCACUGCCCAGCGAAUGGCUACAAGUCGGCCCAUAACCACCUCACAGUCUAUAGAGCCUGAACUUUAUGGUAGAAAGAAAGAGACAAGUAAUAUUAUUCAUGACAUUACCAAGGGAGAAUACUGUGACAAGGACCUUACGGUGCUUCCAAUUGUUGGUCCAGGGGGCAUCGGGAAGACAACUCUAAUGCAAUACAUAUACAGUGAUGAAAAACUUCAGAACCAUUUUGAAGUAAAAUUGUGGGUGUGUGUAUCUGUCAAUUUCAAUGUGCAUAGGUUGACACAAGAGGUUGCUGAUAAACUCCCAAAAGACGAAAAGAAUAGUGGAGAUAAAAAGAUUGAAGAACAACUAAAAUCUAAAAGGUUUCUGCUUGUGUUGGAUGAUAUGUGGGACUGUAGAGAUGAGGAUGAGUGGAAAAAGUUUUUAGUACCUUUCACAAAAGGACAAAAGGGGAGUGUUAUUCUAGUCACAACAAGGUUUCCCGCGAUAGCACAAAUGGUUAAAACAACUGAUCGUUGGAAAGACUUGGAGGGUUUAGACCGUGAAUCAUUUGAGGAGUUAUUCAUAGCAUGUGCCUUUGGUGACAAUCAAUCAAGAAAUGAGCAUAGAGAAUUAAUUGAAACUGGAGAUAAGAUAUUGGGAAAACUAAAGGGAUCCCCUCUUGCUGCAAAAACUGUUGGAAGAUUGUUGAGAAACCACCUAGAUCUGGGCCAUUGGACUAGAGUGUUAGAAAGUAAAGAAUGGGAACUACAGCAUGGAGAUCAUGAUAUUAUGCCAGCAUUGAAGCUUAGCUUUGAUUAUCUCCCUUUCCAUCUGCAACAAUGUUUUACCUAUUGUGCAUUGUUUCCAGAAGAUUACAAAUUUGGUGCAGCAGAAUUAAUUCACCUUUGGAUAGGACUAGAUGUUUUGCAUUCACGUGGUGAAAAUAAAAGUAUUGAGGAUAUAGGACUAAGGUAUUUAAUAGAACUGGUUAACCAUGGAUUUUUCAAAAAGGAAGAAGAUGAAUAUGGGCGCACUUAUUAUAUCAUUCAUGAUCUGUUACAUGACUUAGCUAUGAAGGUUUCAGCAGAUGAAUGCCUUAGCAUAUGCAGUUCAGACAAUGUGAGAUCCUUACAAAUCCCCCAGUCGAUACGCCACUUAUCUAUCAACAUGGAUGAGUCAAGUGUCAAGGACAGGAAGACUUUUGAUAUCUGUAAUAUCUGUAAGGAAGAUUUUAGUGUGCUGGGGAAAAAGUUGAAAUUUGAGAACCUACACUCAUUGAUGUUAUUUGGGGAAGAUCAAGGUAGCUUUGUGAAGACUUUUCGUGGUUUGUUCCGUAAAGCAAAAGCCAUUCGUGUUAUUUUUAUAUCUGGAGGAAACUAUAGUGUGGAAGACUUAUUGCACAACUUUUCAAACCUUGUCCAUCUCCGUUAUCUUCGGAUAGCAGGAUCACAAACACCCAAGGACAUUUCAAGAUUUUACCACCUCAGGGUCGUAGAUAUAAAAAAAUGUCGUAGUUCUUACGAUUUACCAAGACAUAUGGGCAAUCUCUUAAAGUUGCGUCAUUUUCUAGUUCCAGACGAUGAAAUGCAUGCAAGCAUUUUUGAAGUGGGGAGAUUAAAAUCACUACAAGAGCUAAGAAGAUUUGAGGUUAGAAAAGAAAGUAAGGGUUUCGAAUUGAUGCAGAUGGGACAUUUGCUAGAGCUUUGCGGAUCAUUGAGAAUCGACAGCCUUGAAAAUGUUGAAGGUAGGGAAGAAGCAGAUGAAGCAAAGUUAAUGCAUAAAAAACACUUGCAUGAGUUAAUGUUGAAUUGGAAUUUUGAACGAGCCAACGAGGAUCCUGGACGUGAAGAACAAGUUCUCCAAGGCCUCAAGCCACACAGCAUUCUUCUAAAGCUAAGCAUUAGAGGGCAUGGGGGUGCCACCUGCCCUUCAUGGCUAGGUGUGAACCUCUCGGUUGAAAACUUGGAAUCUCUUUGCCUAGAUGGUGUGGCUUGGAAAAUGUUUCCACCUAUCGGUGAGUUUCAGCUUGUUAAUGGAGCUGCUGAAGAAAUUUCGAGUAAUAUCCCUGGCCAACACUUUAAAAAUUUGAAGAGGAUAGAACUUGCAAAUUUAGCAAGGCUGCAAAGAUGGGUCGUAGGUAGCUCCGGUCAACUGUUAUCCCACUUGGAAGAGCUCAUCAUCAGAGAUUGCCCUGAACUCGUGGAGCUGCCAUUUUCUAAUUCUACUUGCAUUGAGCAGGAGCAGAAGACCACGUUUCCUAGACUACAAAAGCUGGCUAUCUAUUCCUGCCCGAAACUGGUGUCCUUGCCUCCUGUUCCUUGGACCAGCUCUCUGCGCUCUGUUCAUAUAUACAGAGUUGGUUUAGACUUUGAGUCAGUGAACUACGGGAAGGAUCAACGUGAAGGAAAGGGCCCUAUGUUGUACAUUGAAGGAAAGGGCCGUGCUCAGGAUAUGACGGCGUCGUUCUGGACGGUAUUGGGCUUUGACAAGUUAACCGGACUAGAGAGCUUGGUUAUAAGCCGCAAUUGCCCUCUCCUGCCACUCGAUGUCCUCCAAAAGCUGUCGUCAUCUAUAAAGUUUCUGAACCUAAUCGAGUGCAACAUGCUUAGUGGGAAGGAACUAGGACAAAUGCUCUCUUGCAUGCCGCAGCUCUCAGAACUGUACAUUUCUGGAUGCGAGAAGAUUACAGGGUUAGGUGUGGUGGAGCAGCUGGAGGAGGGAAAGGAGGAAAUAGCAACAGAUGAGUUGCUGCUCUUACCUCCCCAACUACAGAGGCUGCAGAUUCUUGAGUGCCCAGAGCUAAGCCUCCGCCCCGAUUCGGGAGGGCUCCAAGGUCUGGCCUUUCUCGUUUCCUUGUGUGUUCACCAAUGCCCCAAGUUCCUCGCCAGCUAUUUACCUUGGCCCUCUUCUUCUUGUUUCCCCUUCCCAACCUCCCUGCAAUACCUCAAUCUCUCUCGCAUGGAGACGCUGGCGCCCCUCUCAAACCUCGCCUCUCUCACGAAGUUGUCGAUUGAGGGAUGCGGGGAUUUCGGAGGCGUGGAUUUGGGGCAUCUCCUUGCCAACGGCUGCCUCCGCGAAUUAUCCGUCUAUGAAACUCCCAACAUUUUCUUCUCCACUGAAUGUUCAGAGGAGCCCUUGGAGUUGGAGAUGCUUCAACUGCAGUCGCUGAGGACGGAUGACGUCGCGAGUGUCCUUGCCGCACCCAUCUGCAGACUCUUCUCUUCCUCCCUCACCAGUUUAUCCAUUUUGAUGGGGGACAUGGAGCGCUUCACAAAGGAGCAGGACGAGGCAUUGCAGUUCCUCACCUCCCUAAAGCGACUCCAAUUGUAUUGCCGCAAGCUGCAGUGCCUCCCGGCGGGCCUACAGAAACUGGCAAACCUCGAAACAUUAGUGAUUCCCGGCACUCCAGGCAUUAUCCACUCCCUGCACAGGGGCAGCCUCCCUGAUUCCCUGCAAGAAUUAUUAAUCACCGGAGGAGGCUUCCAGUCACUGCCCAAGGACAGCCUCCCUAACUCCCUGCGAAAAUUAUCAAUCUACAACUGCUCAGCCAUCCGCUCACUGCCCAAGGAGAGCCUCCCUAAUUCCCUGCAAGAAUUGGAGAUCGACAGCUGUCCAGCCAUCCGGGCGCUCCCCAAGGGCGGCCUCCCAAGUUCACUGCAGAUAUUAGAUGUCCGGGAUGGCAACAGCGAGGACCUAAGAAGGCAGUGCCGCAAGCUGAUUGGAACCGUUCCAGUAGUCAGAGCCUGAUCAAUCAAGGUAACAUGCACUUUCCUGUGUUCUACUCGUUCCACUAAUUUCACCUGCUUCAAUUUUCCUAACCUCAUGCUCGUUCUGUUUAUUCAACGCAGUCACUGCUCCAUAUAAUCCACUUGUUCUUACUCAGUAUUACUCUGCAGGUCUCUGUUUCAAAUGUGCGUUCAUCUAACUCAUACGAUUUGCUCUCUAUCGGUUAUUCGGUUCAUAGUUACGAGCUGUUAGGUAUGAACAUUUUGUCAGCAUGUGCUUUCCACACCGUAAAUAAAUUGGUUAGUAUAUACACCAUUUAGCAGUUUAAUCCUAGUUUGCUGAUCUGCUCUGUUCGUUGUUGUGGUUAUUUGUGGUGCUUUUCACUUUCUAAUAUUGUAGAGUUGGCAAAUUAGUUAUUCUCAGCACUCCAGCUAUGCAAAACCACCUAGGAAAACCACUGUAGGGGUCAUUUGUACUUGAGGUGAGGGGGUGAUGUGGUCGACCCUUGAUACGUUGGGGCGAUGUCGUCGACCCUUGAUACCCAGGAAAACAGAAUUAUACUGUUUCAUGGGUGCUGCAUCUAUUUUCAUGAUGUGCUGUGUGAGCUAGCAGAGUAGCAGUUGCUUGGUCAUGUGUAACUGAGUAUAAGCCAACCAGCAAUGCUUUACAUGCGUUUCCCCCCUUUUUUCCAUCAUAAAUAGUAUUACUUAGAUUCAUGCUCAUGUUUCUUUCUCCACAUUUGAUGAUCUACCAGCAACAAUGAAUAUGAUUUUUAAUCAUGCUCUGUGUACUUUUCCCAACGAAAAUCCUAUCGGCACAACCCAUGAUUUUGUGGAAAACACCAUUGAGAAAAUAGAGAUAAUUCUGUUAUCUGACAUUUUAGCAGACAAUAUUAAUAAGAGUACUAAUAAAGUAACAAUAUUCCUUUUUUUUCCUUUCUUUAGCAGAGCUCUUCUUGGAACUGUACAUUCCUGUAGCCUUAUAGAAAUCUUUUAUAUCGAUGGACGAUUCUAUGUUGUCAAGUUUCAACUCUGAAGAUCUCGACAUGUAUCUCCCAUCAUGUAAUGAAACUGGUUAGUACAUUUUAACUGUACCAUUCAGAAGUUAAGUUCACAUCGUGCUCCUUGCUAUUUUGUUACUCAAUGAUUUUUUUUCCUUUCUAGUCCUUUUGACUAGAUCAGUCUAGUAUGAGAGUCGGUGCAACUAUUGAUAGAUACAAAACUUUGCAGUACCCUGUUGUUCGAGUCUCGAAGUUUUAAACCUUCAAAAAUAAGCUUCAUCCUCUGUACUUUAGCUUCAGUAAUUUUCAUUCCUAAUUUACUUAUUCUGCAGAUACAUGAGUUUAGCCAAUUUAAGAGAACCUGCUUGGAUUACUGCUUAUUGCCUUGAGGUACUACUGCUGCAGGGUACAGUUAUACACCCUUAUGUUUUUACACUGAAACUAGUAGUAAUUCUGUACUCUGAUAUUCUGCGCCCUUCGAACCUAUCCAUUUUUUAGCCUCAUAAUAUUCUACUCCUAUACUGUACAUAUUAGUCACCCAUGGUCCUAUACUCCUAUACUCUACAUAGAAGUCAACUUGAAACUUCCAUCAACUGGUUAGUAUAUGCGAAGUCACCCAUAGUCCUAUACUCCUACACUGUACAUAGAAGUUCAGUCGACAUAUUAGCUUCUACAUGUUUCUCUGGUUAAUUAUUUGGGCAUCCCGGGAAAUUACAUGAUGCAUUUAUAUCUCAAUCAUAUGGUUAUCCCUUUUCAUGCACUAUGAUAAUUACUUGUUAAUUCUGGACUCUGAAAUUCCAAUUUCUGUGCCCAAUGUAUGACUAUCUCGUUGUUCAGGUAUGUGGCUUACAUGCUACUCGGCUGCACUUCCUUAUUGUGGACAAAACUUCUCUUUGACAGAUGUUGCUGCACCAAUGAUCUUUCAAUAGGUUAGUACCGUCAAUUUUCUGCACUAAUUUUGCAUAAUGGACCUUGCGUCAGUAUGCUGUUCAUCAGUAAUUGUAGCCAAAUAGCCAAUUAUAUUUUGAUUACAUAGAGACAGGACUACAAGAGCUAGCAGAUAUGCUGCUAUUGUUGUUUUGAAGCUAAUCUCUAUUAGACAUGUAUAGCCCAAUCAACCAUGGCCUUGUUUAGUUGCCCAACUUUGGAGAUGUAAAAUCACUGUUGUAGCACUGUAGCGUUUCGUUUGUAUUUGUGAAUUAUUAUCCAAAUAUUGACUAAUUAGGCUCAAAAGAUUCGUCUCGCAAAGUACAACAAAACUAUGCAAUUAGUUUUUAAUUUCAUCUACAUUUAGUACUCGAUGCAUGUAACGCAAGUUUGAUGUGAUGGGAAAUUUUCUUUUUUAUAGUGUCAAAGUUGGGAGUUUGGGGAACUAAACAGGCCCCAUAGGUGGUUGUAUUCUUGUGACUCAAGUUGUUUAUGCAUAGAAAUUCAGUCGAUUUGAGCUACAAAUGUUUACACCACCCUGCACCUUAACGAUGCAAAUGUCAGUCGACAUUCACAAGCUCCUAAGGUGAUUGUCAUCAUCCGGCACACGAUCCUCUUCAAGGACCGUCCCAAGGCCCUCAUCUCAAGUAACUGACCAACUAAUCCACCAUUUCUGUUCACUCCAAUCACCUCAGCAGUAACCAGUAAUUCAGAAUUUCGUGUAUCAAUUUGCUGACCCUGAUUCGGUUUCUGGUGUUCUUCAGAACCAGCAACAAAGGAGAAGACGACCAAGCAACCAGCAGCAGAUUGACAAAAUCGACGCCAUUUCGGGAAGGGAUCAGCAGCAACUUGCCACCAUGCCAGCAAUUUCGUGGAACCUUGGUUUGGCUGCGUGCAUCCAGGUUCUCUGAACAUGAGAUUAUUCCUGUAAUAAUUGGGCGAAGAUGGAUGCCGUGUUUGGGUUGGUUGAUGCGUUAUAUGGCCAUUCCUUUGCAUAAGGAUGUAUACUUGUAUUGUUUGAUGCUUUCUUGGUGGUCAGAAAAUGAAAUGAUCUCCAAUAAAAAAUUGAAAUGAUGACCUCUACUGAAAGCAAAAUCAGCACAUAUAAAUAAAUGUCACUAUAGUGGCUGAUGUUAUCUUGAUCCCAUCAGUCGUGGAGCAUCAUCAUCAUAUCGAAAAUAAAUGUGUGGGAUCUAAUGCAUACAAAUGGACUUUUUCCGUUGAUUCUGCAUCCUGCGGCACGAACCUGAAUUUAGACAGACCAUAUGUGUUUGGUCGGCAUAUGAUCUCAUACUAUGCAACUCAACUUGGGUCAGAAUAUUCUUAAAAGGAAACUGAACAAACCUGAAAAGAAGGUUUCAGUAUUCUUGACAAUACAUCAAAAAGAUGAAAAUUCAUUUUAUAUGUGUCAAUAAAGAAGUGAAAACGUCUACUUAUUGUAAAUUGCUUCCUAUGCUUCAGAGUACUAAUCAUCAUACUCUACCCAUAUCAGGUGAAAUGCUCGUAGAAUUAAAUGAUCGCAUCAUAGACAUACGGAUAGCAGGUGAGCAGAUCCUUGAUUUCAACCAACAAAUAUCAUGGAAUGACUAUUCACAAUAAGAAUUAGAAAUACAUUAUGCAAUACACACGAAUAUGCUGCAGUACAAAACAAAUGCAGAAAAAAAAAAGUAAUGUAGUGGCCUUGCCCGAAGUCAGACCUGAAUCUCUUGGUGAGAGCCAAGUAACAAGUAUCCUAACCACCUAGACUGCAACUGGGGCUCUCUUGCAAAGAAUUGCACAACCAAUAGCAUCAAAGGCACCUGUUAUCUCAACCAUGAUCUUUCUACACAGCAUGCACCUAACUCAGAGUCUCAAACUAUAAGAUCGUGCAUUCAUUCUUGCACGGAGAUUUUGAUUGUAAAAAAAUAAAAUAUAUAUUAGUACAAAAAGAAUAUGGAUAUCAGCAGCCAUUCAACAAAAAGUAAACUGAGCAAAUCAAAUCUUUCCAAAAUGCUCACACACAGGUGUUAUACUUACAUGUUACAUCGAGGGAUCUUCUACCAGAUAUCUGAGGUGAGUGAUACUUACCAUUUCCUAUAGAGUGUCUCCUCUUCAUAUGCAGUUGAACAUGGAAAGCCAUGAUGUUUAAAUGUAUAUAGUGUUCAAACUUACUUGAUAUGCUCAGGAUCAUCCCAAUCCAGACCAUCAAUCAAUAUAUCAUACUUGUGAUCCAUAUGUGACUGCAAGCAAUCAAGAAUUGCCAGAACAUCGUUUACCUGGCUCUUUGAUCUGUUUUCUGCGGUAAAAGUAUAAACUUUAUAGCCAACUUCUAUCCAACUGCACCCGAUGUUCGUUUUCAGCCCUCUCUCCUUCAUCACCCUCCUCACUCUUGCCACAUCACUCCAGCAGCCAAUGCUUGCAUACAAAUUCGCUAGUUGCACAUGAGUUGCAGCACAACUUGGUUCAAGCUUCAGACGGUGCUCUGCAGCCUGUAUGCCGAUCGAAACGCUUCCGUGCACCCUGCAGGAAGCUAGCAAGGAGCCCCAUAUAACACCAUUUGGAGGCAUGGACAUUGUCUGGAUCAGAUCCCACGCUUCAUCGAGCAGUCCUGCACGGCCAAGGAGAUCAACCAUACAUGAGUAAUGAUCUAGCUCUGGUUCUAUUCCAUGUUCAAUCAUUGCCCUGAAGCAGCGUCGACCUUCCGUUACAAGGCAUGCAUGCCGGCAUGAUGAAAGCACGCCUAGGAAGGAUAUUGCAUCCGGAAUUAUGUGCUCUUCCAUUUGUUUCAGCAAGUUUAUGCAAUGCUCAGGAAGGCCAUGCUGUGAAUAUCCAAAGAUCAUGGAGUUCCAAGAGACCAGGUCUUUGCAAGCAAUGUUCUCAAAUAUGGCUUGCGCGUCACCAAUGCUCCCGCACUUUGCAUACAUUGAUAUCAAUGCAUUGGACACAUGCACAUAGGAAUCAAAACCCAUUUUCAUUUGUAGGCCUUGAACACUUCUACCAAGUGCAAGAAAUGCAUGGUUCGUGCACAUACUGAAUAUAGUUGCAAAUGUGAUGUCAUUUGGCUUGCACGUCGACUGCCUCAUCAGUGCAAAUAAAUGGAGACAUGGUUCCACCUGAUUAUCCUGUGCGUAACCAGAAAUAAGUGCUGUCCAUGAGACAGUGUUUUUUGCUGUCAUGCCCUGGAAAACCCGAUGAGCUUUUUGCAACUGGCCACAUCUUGAAUAAAAGCUGAUCAGUGCGCUCCCAACAAGGACAGAGGAGUCAUAUCCUACUUUCACUAGUAAAGCCUGAAGAUGUGCACCUCCAGUAAGAGUUUUCAUAUCAGCACAGGAACUCAGUGCAGAUGCCAAAAUAGAUGCAUCUGAACUGAUGCCCCCUCUCCUAUGCAGCUCCACUAUAUGCAUAAGCAAGUCAUCCUUUGUGAAUCUAGUCAUGGAAGGGCAUACUGAGAUAUUGCUUGAGAGCAUGUCAUUGCUUUUGGGCCGUGCUUGAUUUGAGCUUGAGUUAACAAAGUCCUCUUUUCUCUUUUGCAUAACAUUCCGUUUUGAUUGAACUCCCAGGAUGUCAUACAUACAGUCAUUGAUAAGGCGGUGAUGAGAUGGAAUGUCCUCUUCGUCAUCAUGGUGCUUGGUUGGUAUAAGGUCCAAAAUCCUCAAUGCAUUGUGAAUCUUGCCACGCCCAUGCUUUCUUGAUCUCUCAAGUGCUGAGGAUGUGCCAAAAUAUGCCACGACUAGACGAAUUGCCGCCAAUGCUGGUAUAACAGAAUGGUUGUUGAAAUGGGAGACGAGAUGACUAAGCAUGUCAACGGUGGCAGAUCAAGGAUAACUCCCAUGGGUGUGCACAUUCCACAGCCGUGAACAAGUUCAGUUUAUAGUACAGCUGCAUCAUAUAUUCGAAAGAAUUAAGUCCAAGAUUGAACUAAUCGCAAAAUAAAGCAUUCGAGCGGUCUUACAUGUGUACAAGAUUUGAAGUUAUCAAGGGAAAAUUCCAAAUACCUUCGAAGUGAUUUGGUCAAACUAACAGAAUAUUACAAACUAUUCUAGGAAAAUGCGUCGCUCGGUCCAUAAAUUCAGUGGAUUAUAGCAAACGAGAGACGAAUGUCCCUACUCCCUAAUCCCAAAAUCAGAAGAGAAACCAAACCGUGAUUAUCGAGGAGAGGAAGGGGGGAAGCUACCUGGUCCGUGGGUCGCUUGCUGCCGCCCUGCCGGCGCUCGGGCACUGGCGCAGCGCCGUGGUCACAGGGGCAGAACCGUACGCACGGAGUGAGAAUCAGAAUCGGAACGAAGCAUUGCCGGCCCUGCAGGGAAUCCAAUUCCAGUCGAAUCGAGAUCGGCGACGCCGGUUCUGGAGACGGAGAAGAAGAGGCAGGGUAGCAUGCGGCACUUGCUGGAGGGCCUGCGGCAGCGACGGUGAUGGCGAUGCCGAUGCAGGCGAAGGCGGUUGCGGGCUGUCCUGCUAAGCCUGCAAGGCUUUUUUGCAGGAGGCAGCUGAGGCCCAUGUCGCAAACGCAGGAGUCUGCAGGAGCCCACGAAGAUCAUUUUCGCAAAAGAAAAAAAAAACAGCGACAUUCCACGCCAGCUGUCUUUCUAACAGAUAGAUGUAUAUAAACAAAUCAGAAAAUGAAACGGACAGCUCUUGCUUGUGGCUUCGGCUCAAUCAGCAGCACCGAACAACUCAAUUUCGUGACAGCGGCCGCCGAUGUUGCCUUGCUAGCAUGAAUCACGUAACGUCGGCAUCACAUGACCACAACUGAAAAUCGUGGCACCCAACGUAGACAUGUAGCCAAAAAUGAGCCGGCGAUUCUGCCUCGCCAACCUCAGCAAUAUGGACCACAUCUGAGUGAACUCCUUCCAUGCAGCUCAACUCUGGCAUCGAGCAUCUAUUUUUGCGAGCCACAGAAAUGCUCGGUAAAAAUUAAAGUGCCUAAUCCUCCACCACAUAUAUAUACUCGUAAAAGAAUCUGAAUUCACCGCCCUGUAUAAUUGUUCAUAUUUACAGCCGCCUCCUAUUCACACUAAUCAUCUUUCUACCUUCAACGGGUUCUGGCCUUUCCAUUCGGUGUAGGAGAAUGCCUCCUGAUUCUAGCCCAGGUCUGUUUGGUAAAACUCCAUCUGAAUCUGAUUCUUUAUAGGAACUGAUUCUCUAAGAGAAGUGAUUCUGUGGCUAAAAGUGAUUCUCUUUGGUUCUAUAGCAUAAACUCUUAAAAUUAGGAUGGAGAAUCACUUCAUAGAAUUGGAGAAGCUAUUUUUUUCCAGCUCCCAGCCUCUUGAAUCACUUCUCUUAAAAAAACUGUUUGGCAGAACUACUGCUGGAAUCAGCUCUGGGAGAUCUGCCAAAUGCACCCUUUUAUACUUCCUGGAUCAAAAUUCUAAUACUGCUCUACAGUUUGUGUGCCCGGACACACCUGUUAUGAUUUCUUCCCCUUUUUUUUGUCUCUGGGUUCUGUGACCAAGUGGUGGCUCUCCAGAAGGUCCGAAAGCGUAAUCUUGCCACAGUUUCCUGUGUCCAGCCUUUGGAAUUGAUCGCAGACCAUCAUGAUAUCUUUCUCAGAAAUCUUCCCCAUCUCCUUGAGCUUGUAAACCG
rnacentral:lncRNA from 1 species